UACACACGUGGUUCAGAGCGCGGUCACGCAGAGGGCGUUCCCAUAGCGUUUCAACGCAGCAUCUCGUUCCUCAGGAACCUAGAGACUUUUAUUAUCGUGUGAAUAAUCACAUAUACUAAUAAAGCUAAAAAAAAAAGUACAACAAAGGAACAAUAAAAGAUUAUGAUUAGAAAUACUGUUUAGCCUUCAAAAUAAUGCUAACAUGAUUUAUGACUCAAACAGAACCAGCCCUAUUUGUACCCAAUUCCUGGAGGGUUAAAACCUGGAUUGGCUUUGUUUUUCCAAGGAGUAGUUCCUUUAGGAUCCAAGGGCUUUGAAAUAAAUCAAAAGGUUGGGCCACAUGAACAUGAUGAAAACAUCUUCCAGUUCAAGACUGACCUAUCAAGUGUGGUCUAUAAUAACUACCAUAAUGGUGAAUGGGAGCAACAAAUAUACAAGGAGGAUACCAUAUUUGUUGAAGGGGAAGCCUUUGAUAUCUUUAUGCUUACUAAACAAGGAAAAUAUGAGGUGGGAAGGAAAAUGUGUGGAGAAACAGUGAUGAUGUCAAUAACAUGAUAUUAAAUCUUUUCUUUUACCUGUUUAGGUAUUUGUAAAUGGACGUCAGUUAAGUAAGUUUACAGAAAAGAGAUCAAUAAGUGAUGUGUCCAUAAUUGAAAUCACUGGAAACGUCUUCAUGAACACUUUUGCCAUUAUUCAGGUGGAUUACACUAAUCUGAUCCUUGACAUUGCAGCCCUUAUGUGAGGAUAUCACCAGGCUACAUCAUUCUUUCAUUUACUGGUUUGUGCAAGUGACUUAGUGAUGG